CAGUCGCCGCGGUAAUACGUAGGUGGCAAGCGUUGUCCGGAAUUAUUGGGCGUAAAGGGCUCGCAGGCGGUUUCUUAAGUCUGAUGUGAAAGCCCCCGGCUCAACCGGGGAGGGCCAUUGGAAACUGGGAAACUUGAGUGCAGAAGAGGAGAGUGGAAUUCCACGUGUAGCGGUGAAAUGCGUAGAGAUGUGGAGGAACACCAGUGGCGAAGGCGACUCUCUGGUCUGUAACUGACGCUGAGGAGCGAAAGCGUGGGGAGCGAACAGGAUUAGAGACCCGUGUAGUCCCUGUCUCUUAUAC
rnacentral:rRNA from 1 species